rnacentral:lncRNA from 1 species
CAUAGCUACCAAAGCCAGUGUAAAAAGGAGAAGAGUAGGACAUAAAUUUUAACUAUGAAAGACGUGAAUGCCAAUAUUCUCUUUACUCAAAGACCCAGGAAGUAAAGUGGGUUAGAGGCAGCAUGAUGUAGUAAAAAGUAUAUUGGCUCUGAAGUCAGGCAGAAUAUAGUCCUGGCUGCCACUUAGCAGCUCUGUGAUUCCCUUUCCUUGGCUGUAAAUUGGGGUAAUAAAUGGUUGUAGGAUUAGAGUUAAUGGAAUGUACUAAGCAUAUUAACAUUGUAAGUACUCAACAAAUGGUAACUGAUAGUUUUUAUGUGGAGUGAAACAAGAAUAAAGAAAGAACUGUUU